GAUGAACGCUGGCGGCGUGCCUAAUACAUGCAAGUCGAGCGAACAGACGAGGAGCUUGCUCCUCUGACGUUAGCGGCGGACGGGUGAGUAACACGUGGAUAACCUACCUAUAAGACUGGGAUAACUUCGGGAAACCGGAGCUAAUACCGGAUAAUAUAUUGAACCGCAUGGUUCAAUAGUGAAAGACGGUUUUGCUGUCACUUAUAGAUGGAUCCGCGCCGCAUUAGCUAGUUGGUAAGGUAACGGCUUACCAAGGCAACGAUGCGUAGCCGACCUGAGAGGGUGAUCGGCCACACUGGAACUGAGACACGGUCCAGACUCCGACGGGAGGCAGCAGUAGGGAAGCUUCCGCAAUGGGCGGAAGCCUGACGGAGCAACGCCGCGUGAGUGAAGAAGGUCUUCGGAUCGUAAAACUCUGUUAUUAGGGAAGAACAAAUGUGUAAGUAACUAUGCACGUCUUGACGGUACCUAAUCAAAAAGCCACGGCUAACUACGUG
rnacentral:rRNA from 1 species